rnacentral:antisense_RNA from 1 species
UGGGCUGCCAGGCAGAUAGGCCUAUGGAGAGCUGCUGUCAGUCUCUCUAGGAGGCCAUGGUUUCCUGCAUGUGGGGGAGAGCCCCAUCCCCCAGACUCUGGAGUGAGUUUAAUUUCCCAAGGCAAGUCUGCCUGAUUGUCCUCUCCUUUCCUUACCUUCAGCACCAAGGAGUUUCCGGUCCCGGUACAGAUCAGUGAGGAAGAGGCUAUUGACAAGUGUGGAUUUGCCCAGGCCAGACUCUCCUGAGAGGAGAGAGGACAGAGGCACCAAAUCAGAAGGGACCCUUCUCUGGGCUGUCUGAUAGUCUGCAGAGACACAGCUGCUUCUGUGCUCUGGGAGAGAGGGACUCCUUGGAGAUCUGAUCUCACUAGUAGUCGUAAUUCUUUGGAUGGGCUCAGUUUGUACUGCUUCAUCCUUUGGAGAAGGCUCCAGACCCUCCUUUACUCUCCCGAGAUUCUAGAAAUUCUCAGGACUCAUUCAGAGAAGGAAUCAGCCAGAAGAUCCUAUGAAGACAAGAUCAAACCAAACACGCUGUGUUAGCCUCAGUUUUAAUAAGAAAUCUGACUGAAAACAAAUUGUUGAAUGUGCUGCUAACAGAGAGGGCCAAACGAUGAUGUCUAUUGUGGCAGCUGAACAAAGUGAGACUUACAGAACUGUAACUGCUGCCCUGAUAGCAACUGAAGCAGAAAGAGAAGAAAGGAGCUUACAACCAGGACACUCAAACU